rnacentral:rRNA from 1 species
AUUGAACGCUGGCGGCAGGCCUAACACAUGCAAGUCGAGCGGAUGAAGGGAGCUUGCUCCUGGAUUCAGCGGCGGACGGGUGAGUAAUGCCUAGGAAUCUGACUGGUAGUGGGGGAUAACGUCCGGAAACGGGCGCUAAUACCGCAUACGUCCUGAGGGAGAAAGUGGGGGAUCUUCGGACCUCACGCUAUCAGAUGAGCCUAGGUCGGAUUAGCUAGUCGGUGGGGUAAAGGCCUACCAAGGCGACGAUCCGUAACUGGUCUGAGAGGAUGAUCAGUCACACUGGAACUGAGACACGGUCCAGACUCCUACGGGAGGCAGCAGUGGGGAAUAUUGGACAAUGGGCGAAAGCCUGAUCCAGCCAUGCCGCGUGUGUGAAGAAGGUCUUCGGAUUGUAAAGCACUUUAAGUUGGGAGGAAGGGCAGUAAGUUAAUACCUUGCUGUUUUGACGUUACCAACAGAAUAAGCACCGGCUAACUUCGUG